rnacentral:miRNA from 1 species
AAUGCAAGAUGACCAACUCAAUGUGAAUUUCAGAUAAAUAACAGUUAAUUUCACUGUAAGUAUGGCUCAUGCAAUAUUUGGGACAUACUUAUGCUAAAAACAUCAUUUCUUGUUUGUCUAAAAUUCAAAUUGAACUGGGUAUCCUGUAUUUU